CCUAUAACUAAACUGAAGUCAUGCCUUUAAGGGUGCAGGAAAGGAAGAAGCAAGAUCCUCUGUCCCAAGGUGGAAUCGUACUGACAUCAACAAUGAAGGGAAAUGCCACAUGAUGCAGGAACAUGCAGUUUGACUUUUAAAGAAAUCUGCCGUUCUUCCCAGCAAAGACGUCCUUUUGGAAGGAGAUGAAGACAAACAGGAAGAUUUGAGCUGAACAAGUGCAAGAUGACAUUAACCUGCUAUGGAUACAAAUAUGAGUUAGAUUUAUUUCUCUUCCUCAGUCAUCUGGGCAUGUUUUUUCUAGGAAUGUGAGCAACUCUUGGCCUGGGCAUUUGAAAAGAAUAUAAUUUCCUGCUUUAAUUUUCUCUCACACAUUCAAGCAUUUUAGUUUUGCAGAACAUUGUAGUUGUGAUGAUUUGUAUUGAACUUGUGUUGAUUUAACAACCUGCACAGGGCCAAAGGUUGUGAGUGGCAAUCCUGCUGUCCUAUGGCUAUACUUAAUUAUUUGAAUCAUAGAGUUGGAAGAAGGAACUUAAGAGGUCAUCAAGAACCUUCUACAAUGUGGCAGCCCUUCAGAAGAUAUUAAAGGCAUUCCUUGGAGAAGCCACAGGCAUAGGAAACAGUUGACCUUAAAUGAACCCUCCUUAUCCUCUUGAAGAAUCA